ensembl:snRNA U6 U6 spliceosomal RNA
GUGCUCGCUUUGGCAACACAUAUACUAAAAUUGGAAUGAUACAGAGAAGAUUAGCAUGGCCCCUGCACAAGGAUGACAUGCAAAUUCGUGAAGCAUUCCAUAUUUUU